CGCGGCCUAUCAGCUUGUUGGUGGGGUAACGGUCUACCAAGGCGAUUACGGGUAGCCGGCCUGAGAGGGCGACCGGCCACACUGGGACUGAGACACGGCCCAGACUCCUGCGGGAGGCAGCAGUGGGGAAUAUUGCGCAAUGGGCGAAAGCCUGACGCAGCGACGCCGCGUGGGGGAUGACGGCCUUCGGGUUGUAAACCUCUUUUACCACCAACGCAGGCUCCCGGUUCUCCGGGGGUUGACGGUAGGUGGGGAAUAAGGACCGGCUAACUACGUGCCAGCAGCCGCGGUAAUACGUAGGGUCCGAGCGUUGUCCGGAAUUAUUGGGCGUAAAGAGCUCGUAGGCGGCGUGUCGCGUCUGCUGUGAAAGACCGGGGCUUAACCCCGGUUCUGCAGUGGAUACGGGCAUGCUAGAGGUAGGUAGGGGAGACUGGAAUUCCUGGUGUAGCGGUGAAAUGCGCAGAUAUCAGGAGGAACACCGGUGGCGAAGGCGGGUCUCUGGGCCUUACCUGACGCUGAGGAGCGAAAGCAUGGGGAGCGAACAGGAUUAGAUACCCUGGUAGUCCAUGCCGUAAACGUUGGGCGCUAGGUGUGGGGACUUUCCACGGUUUCCGCGCCGUAGCUAACGCAUUAAGCGCCCCGCCUGGGGAGUACGG
rnacentral:rRNA from 1 species